UUUCUGCUGUGAUGAUUUCUGAAUUAAUUCACAUGUCAGACUUCAGAGAUUUGUUUUUUCUUUUAUUUUUUUAAAAUCAAUGAGAAUGAAAAUUGAAAUUAUCUGGGCAGAUC